rnacentral:lncRNA from 1 species
AUUGCUGAGGGGAAAGUCCUUGUUCAGAGAAUUCAUACGAAGGACGAUUCAGUUGAUAUGCUUACGAAGCCUCUUCCGGUUUACAAGUUCAAGCAGUGCUUGGACUUGGUUGGUAUUCAUUGUUGGUGAUUGCCCGUUGGGGCUUUUGUGAAGAAGGUGGAGCAAGUUUUGUUGGGACAUGCCAAGGUGGAGAUUUGUUAGUUUGGCAAGUCCCAUAGUCCCACAUCGGGAAAAUUAGACUUGUUGUCUCGUCUUGGAACUAUAAAUAAGAGCUUGGGCUUUGAAGUCAGAU